UACGUAGGGUGCGAGCGUUAAUCGGAAUUACUGGGCGUAAAGCGUGCGCAGGCGGUUUUGUAAGACAGGCGUGAAAUCCCCGAGCUCAACUUGGGAAUGGCGCUUGUGACUGCAAGGCUAGAGUAUGUCAGAGGGGGGUAGAAUUCCACGUGUAGCAGUGAAAUGCGUAGAGAUGUGGAGGAAUACCGAUGGCGAAGGCAGCCCCCUGGGACGUCACUGACGCUCAUGCACGAAAGCGUGGGGAGCAAACAGGAUUAGAAACCCCGGUAGU
rnacentral:rRNA from 1 species